rnacentral:rRNA from 1 species
AUUGAACGCUGGCGGAAUGCUUUACACAUGCAAGUCGAACGGCAGCAUAGGUGCUUGCACCUGAUGGCGAGUGGCGAACGGGUGAGUAAUACAUCGGAACGUGCCCAGUCGUGGGGGAUAGCGUAGCGAAAGUUACGCUAAUACCGCAUACGAUCUAAGGAUGAAAGCGGGGGACCGUAAGGCCUCGCGCGAUUGGAGCGGCCGAUGUCAGAUUAGGUAGUUGGUGAGGUAAAGGCUCACCAAGCCGACGAUCUGUAGCUGGUCCGAGAGGACGACCAGCCACACUGGGACUGAGACACGGCCCAGACUCCUACGGGAGGCAGCAGUGGGGAAUUUUGGACAAUGGACGCAAGUCUGAUCCAGCCAUUCCGCGUGCAGGACGAAGGCCUUCGGGUUGUAAACUGCUUUUGUACGGAACGAAAAAGCUCUUACUAAUACUAGGAGUCCAUGACGGUACCGUAAGAAUAAGCACCGGCUAACUACGUGCCAGCCGCCGCGGUAA